CGGCCGCCAGCACAGUGCCUGCGGACCGGGGAGGGAGAUCUCUGAUCUCCCCUCCGGUCCGCAGGCACAUUGCAGGGCUAGCACCUGCAUGUGCUGACAGGGGAGGGAGACCGGCGGAUUUCCCCCCCCCUGGAUCCGCCACUGCCCUGUGGGUGCCCCCACCCUCAGGGUCCCCCCACCCUCAGGGUCCCCCUCCCGCUGGGCUCUGGGGAGAGGAAGGGGUUAAACUUAACUCUUUCUCCAGCGCCGGGCAGGGAGCUCUCCUCCUCUUCGACUGAAUGCACAGCAGGAGCUGCGUGCGCAUUCAGCC